rnacentral:rRNA from 1 species
ACUAUCGUUAACUGAAUACAUAGGUUAACGAGGCGAACCGGGGGAACUGAAACAUCUAAGUACCCCGAGGAAAAGAAAUCAACCGAGAUUCCCCCAGUAGCGGCGAGCGAACGGGGAGCAGCCCGGAGUCUGAAUCAGCUUGUGUGUUAGUGGAAGCGUCUGGAAAGUCGCACGGUACAGGGUGACAGUCCCGUACACGAAAAUGCACAGGUUGUGAACUCGAAGAGUAGGGCGGGACACGUGGUAUCCUGUCUGAAUAUGGGGGGACCAUCCUCCAAGGCUAAAUACUCCUGACUGACCGAUAGUGAACCAGUACCGUGAGGGAAAGGCGAAAAGAACCCCGGCGAGGGGAGUGAAAAAGAACCUGAAACCGUGUACGUACAAGCAGUGGGAGCACCUUCGUGGUGUGACUGCGUACCUUUUGUAUAAUGGGUCAGCGACUUAUAUUCUGUAGCAAGGUUAACCGUAUAGGGGAGCCGCAGGGAAACCGAGUCUUAACUGGGCGUUAAGUUGCAGGGUAUAGACCCGAAACCCGGUGAUCUAGCCAUGGGCAGGUUGAAGGUUGGGUAACACUAACUGGAGGACCGAACCGACUAAUGUUGAAAAAUUAGCGGAUGACCUGUGGCUGGGGGUGAAAGGCCAAUCAAACCGGGAGAUAGCUGGUUCUCCCCGAAAGCUAUUUAGGUAGCGCCUCGUGAACUCAUCUUCGGGGGUAGAGCACUGUUUCGGCUAGGGGGCCAUCCCGGCUUACCAACCCGAUGCAAACUACGAAUACCGAAGAAUGUUAUCACGGGAGACACACGGCGGGUGCUAACGUCCGUCGUGAAGAGGGAAACAACCCAGACCGCCAGCUAAGGUCCCAAAGUCAUGGUUAAGUGGGAAACGAUGUGGGAAGGCACAGACAGCCAGGAUGUUGGCUUAGAAGCAGCCAUCAUUUAAAGAAAGCGUAAUAGCUCACUGGUCGAGUCGGCCUGCGCGGAAGAUGUAACGGGGCUAAACCAUGCACCGAAGCUGCGGCAGCGACGCUUAUGCGUUGUUGGGUAGGGGAGCGUUCUGUAAGCCGUUGAAGGUGUGCUGUGAGGCAUGCUGGAGGUAUCAGAAGUGCGAAUGCUGACAUAAGUAACGAUAAAGCGGGUGAAAAGCCCGCUCGCCGGAAGACCAAGGGUUCCUGUCCAACGUUAAUCGGGGCAGGGUGAGUCGACCCCUAAGGCGAGGCCGAAAGGCGUAGUCGAUGGGAAACAGGUUAAUAUUCCUGUACUUGGUGUUACUGCGAAGGGGGGACGGAGAAGGCUAUGUCAGCCGGGCGACGGUUGUCCCGGUUUAAGCGUGUAGGUGUGUGUUCCAGGCAAAUCCGGUUCACUUUAACACUGAGGCGUGAUGACGAGGCACUACGGUGCUGAAGUGAUAAAUGCCCUGCUUCCAGGAAAAGCCUCUAAGCAUCAGGUAACACGAAAUCGUACCCCAAACCGACACAGGUGGUCAGGUAGAGAAUACCAAGGCGCUUGAGAGAACUCGGGUGAAGGAACUAGGCAAAAUGGUGCCGUAACUUCGGGAGAAGGCACGCUGAUAUGUAGGUGAAGUCCCUGCGGACGGAGCUGAAAUCAGUCGAAGAUACCAGCUGGCUGCAACUGUUUAUUAAAAACACAGCACUGUGCAAACACGAAAGUGGACGUAUACGGUGUGACGCCUGCCCGGUGCCGGAAGGUUAAUUGAUGGGGUUAGCGGCAACGCGAAGCUCUUGAUCGAAGCCCCGGUAAACGGCGGCCGUAACUAUAACGGUCCUAAGGUAGCGAAAUUCCUUGUCGGGUAAGUUCCGACCUGCACGAAUGGCGUAAUGAUGGCCAGGCUGUCUCCACCCGAGACUCAGUGAAAUUGAACUCGCUGUGAAGAUGCAGUGUACCCGCGGCAAGACGGAAAGACCCCGUGAACCUUUACUAUAGCUUGACACUGAACACUGGUCCUUGAUGUGUAGGAUAGGUGGGAGGCUUUGAAGCGUGGACGCCAGUCUGCGUGGAGCCGUCCUUGAAAUACCACCCUUUAAUGGCUGGUGUUCUAACGUGGACCCGUGAUCCGGGUUGCGGACAGUGUCUGGUGGGUAGUUUGACUGGGGCGGUCUCCUCCCAAAGAGUAACGGAGGAGCACGAAGGUUAGCUAAUCCUGGUCGGACAUCAGGAGGUUAGUGCAAUGGCAUAAGCUAGCUUGACUGCGAGAGUGACGGCUCGAGCAGGUGCGAAAGCAGGUCAUAGUGAUCCGGUGGUUCUGAAUGGAAGGGCCAUCGCUCAACGGAUAAAAGGUACUCCGGGGAUAACAGGCUGAUACCGCCCAAGAGUUCAUAUCGACGGCGGUGUUUGGCACCUCGAUGUCGGCUCAUCACAUCCUGGGGCUGAAGUAGGUCCCAAGGGUAUGGCUGUUCGCCAUUUAAAGUGGUACGCGAGCUGGGUUUAGAACGUCGUGAGACAGUUCGGUCCCUAUCUGCCGUGGGCGCUGGAGAAUUGAGGGGGGCUGCUCCUAGUACGAGAGGACCGGAGUGGACGCAUCACUGGUGUUCGGGUUGUCAUGCCAAUGGCACUGCCCGGUAGCUAAAUGCGGAAGAGAUAAGUGCUGAAAGCAUCUAAGCACGAAACUUGCCCCGAGAUGAGUUCU